ACAGAGGGUGCGAGCGUUGUCCGGAAUCACUGGGCGUAAAGGGCGCGUAGGUGGCGCGACAAGUCAGUGGUGAAAGCUCGACGCUCAACGUCGAGUCGGCCACUGAUACUGUUGGGCUGGAGCACUGUAGAGGCUAAUGGAAUUCCGGGUGUAGCGGUGGAAUGCGUAGAGAUCCGGAAGAACACCGGUGGCGAAGGCGGUUAGCUGGGCAGUUGCUGACACUGAGGCGCGACAGCGUGGGGAGCAAACAGGA
rnacentral:rRNA from 1 species